rnacentral:rRNA from 1 species
GCAUGGAAUAACACAGAUGGGCUCUUUUUCGCAACGUUGGUUUGCGUCAAUCGAGCAACGAUCGAUAGAGACGGUCGGGGGCAUUCGUAUUGCGCAGUUAGAGGUGAAAUUCUCCGAUCUGCGCAAGACGCACUAAUGCGAAAGCAGUUGCCAAGGACGUCCUCUUAUGAUCAAGAGCGAAAGUCGGGGGAUCAAAGAUGAUUAGAUACCGUCGUAGUCCCGACCAUAAAUGAUGCCGACUGAGCGUCGGCGACUCGGCCUUCGGCCGUACGUCGGCGCUCUUGAGAGAAAUUAAAGUCUUUGGGCUCCGGGGGUAGUAUGGUCGCAAGUCUGAAACUUGAAGGAAUUGACGGAAGGGCACCACAAGGCGUGGAUGUUGCGGCUUAAUUUGACUCAACACGGGGAAGCUUACUAGGUUUGGACACUUGAAUGAGGGACAUAUUGAAGCUCUUACCUUUUUUUGUGGAUGGUGGUGCAUGGUCGUUCUCAGCCCGUGGGUUGACCUGUCAGGUUUACUCCGGUAACGCGCGAGACCUCGGUUUGCUAAAUAGACGCGGCUGUCUCGGCACCCGCGCUCUUCUUAGAGAGAGUCUCGACGAGAGUCGAGGGAAGUCGAGGCAAUAACAGAUCUGUGAUGCCCUUAGUUAUCCUAGGUCGCACGCGCCAAACAAUGUCGCUUACAACGAGUUCCUAGGCCGACAGGCGUUCUCCCUCGAGCGCGGUCGCGGCAGACCCCGAGGGCCAGUCGCUCCGAGAGAGCGGSCGUCCGAGGGC